AGUCGCACGAAGUUUCGGCCUUAGUGGCGGACGGGUGAGUAACGCGUAGGGAUCUAUCCACGGGUGGGGGACAACUUCGGGAAACUGGAGCUAAUACCGCAUGAUACCUGAGGGUCAAAGGCGCAAGUCGCCUGUGGAGGAACCUGCGUUCGAUUAGCUAGUUGGUGGGGUAAAGGCCUACCAAGGCGAUGAUCGAUAGCUGGUUUGAGAGGAUGAUCAGCCACACUGGGACUGAGACACGGCCCAGACUCCUACGGGAGGCAGCAGUGGGGAAUAUUGGACAAUGGGGGAAACCCUGAUCCAGCAAUGCCGCGUGUGUGAAGAAGGUCUUCGGAUUGUAAAGCACUUUCGACGGGGACGAUGAUGACGGUACCCGUAGAAGAAGCCCCGGCUAACUUCGUGCCAGCAGCCGCGGUAAUACGAAGGGGGCUAGCGUUGCUCGGAAUGACUGGGCGUAAAGGGCGCGUAGGCGGUUUGGACAAUCAGAUGUGAAAUCCCCGGG
rnacentral:rRNA from 1 species